CCUACGGGCGGCAGCAGUGAGGAAUCUUUGUCAAUGGGCUUACGCCUGAACCAGCCAAGUCGCGUGAGGGAAGACUGCCCUAUGGGUUGUAAACCUCUUUUUUCAGGGAGAAACGCCGGCUACGUGUAGCCUGACUGAGGGUACCUGAAGAAAAAGCAUCGGCUAACUCCGUUCCAGCCGCCGCGGUAAUACGGAGGAUGCGAGCGUUAUCCGGAUUUAUUGGGUUUAACGGGUGCGUAGGCGGAAUGCCAAGUCAGCGGUAAAAUCGCGGGGCUCAACCUCGCUCCGCCGUUGAAACUGGCGUUCUUGAGUGGGCGAGAAGUAUGCGGAAUGCGUGGUGUAGCGGUGAAAUGCAUAGAUAUCACGCAGAACUCCGGUGGCGAAGGCGGCUUACUGGACCAUAACUGACGUUGAGGCUCGAAAGCGUGGGGAGCGAACAGGAUUAGAUACCCGAGUAGUC
rnacentral:rRNA from 1 species